rnacentral:rRNA from 1 species
AGUCACUGACAUUAGAUACCCCGGUAGUCCAGGGUGUAAACGCUGCAGACUUGGUGUUGGGGGCCCUUUGGGGGGCAUUCAGUGCCGGAGAGAAGUUGUUAAGUCUGCUACUUGGGGAGUACGUCCGCAAGGAUGAAACUUAAAGGAAUUGGCGGGGGAGCACCGUAACGGGAGGAGCGUGCGGUUUAAUUGGAUUCAACACCGUAAACUCACCAGGGAAGACUGUUACAUGAAGGCCGAGAUGAAGACUCUGCUAGAUUUUCAG